rnacentral:rRNA from 1 species
GAUUAAGAUUAAGGGCGCACGGUGGAUGCCUUGGCACUAGAAGCCGAUGAAUUACGUUACUAACGACGAUAUGCUUUGGGGAGCUGUAAGUAAGCUUUGAUCCAGAGAUUUCCGAAUGGGGAAACCCAGCAUGAGUUAUGUCAUGUUAUCGAUAUGUGAAUACAUAGCAGAUCAGAAGGCACACCCG